GUGAGGAAUUUUCCGCAAUGGGCGAAAGCCUGACGGAGCAAUGCCGCGUGAAGGAUGAAGGCCUAUGGGUUGUAAACUUCUUUUCUCAGAAAAGAAUUAUGACGGUAUCUGAGGAAUAAGCAUCGGCUAACUCUGUGCCAGCAGCCGCGGUAAGACAGAGGAUGCAAGCGUUAUCCGGAAUGAUUGUGCGUAAAGCGUCUGUAGGUUGUUUAAAAAGUAUUCUGUCAAAGAUUAGGGCUUAACCAUAGAUAGGCAGAAUAAACUUUUAAGCUAGAGUUUGGUAGAGGCAGAGGGAAUUCCCGGUGGAGCGGUGAAAUGCGUAGAUAUCGGGAGGAACACCAAAGGCGAAGGCACUCUGCUGGGCCAAUACUAACACUGAGAGACGAAAGCGAGGGGAGCAAAUGGGAUUAGAAACCCGAGUAGUCC
rnacentral:rRNA from 1 species